UGUCAAAACAGUCUUUACACAAUUUGUAUUCUACUUUUUCCGAGGGAAACUUUACUUAAUUUUUUCUCAUUUAACUUUAAACUUUGCUGAUUUAUUAUGUCUAUGUAAUGCUCUUACGCCUAUUGAGUAAUUUAAUAUCUCAUAAUUGAAUUAUUAAUGUAUUUUUCCAUUCUUUUGUUCUCUUCUUACAUUUCAUAGGUUGCGGAGCGGGCUCUCUACUUUUGGCAUAACGAAUACAUAUUAAGUCUAAUCGAGGAGAAUUCAAAUACAAUAAUGCCAAUCAUGUUUCCAGCAUUAUAUAAAAUAUCUAAGGAACAUUGGAACCAGACUAUCAUUGCACUUGUUUACAAUGUUUUGAAGACAUUUAUGGAAGUAAACUCUAAGUUAUUUGACGAAUUGACUGGAAGUUAUAGACAAGAAAGACAAAAAGAGAAGAGGAAAGAAAAAGAAAGAGACGAGUUAUGGAGGAAAUUAUCGGAAUUGGAAUUAGAUCAUAAGAGUGGACAAUUAGGAGACGGAAGACUUUAACCUCAUUAUUAUAAAUAUAUUGUAUGAAAGAAA